GGAAGUAAAAGUUGUAACAAGGUUUCCGUAGGUGAACCUGUGGAAGGAUCAUUAUUGUAUAACCGAGGUGCGAGGGCUGUCGCUGACCCGAAAGGUCGUGCACGCCCGAGUGCCCUCACACACAUCCAUCUCACCCCUAUGUGCACCACCGCGUGGGUCCCCCUUUGGCUUGUUCGGAGGGGGGCUUACGUUUUCACACAAACUUUGUAUGCAGUGUAGAAUGUAUUUUUUGUUUUUGCGAUCACGCAAUCAAUACAACUUUCAACAACGGAUCUCUUGGCUCUC
rnacentral:misc_RNA from 1 species